rnacentral:rRNA from 1 species
CACGUAGGGCGCAAGCGUUGUCCGGAAUUAUUGGGCGUAAAGAGCUCGUAGGCGGUCUGUUGCGUCCGCUGUGAAAACUCGGGGCUUAACCCCGAGCCUGCAGUGGAUACGGGCAGACUAGAGGUAGGUAGGGGAGAAUGGAAUUCCCGGUGUAGCGGUGAAAUGCGCAGAUAUCGGGAGGAACACCAAUGGCGAAGGCAGCACUCUGGGACGUGACUGACGCUGAGACGCGAAAGCGUGGGGAGCAAACAGG